UACGGAGGGGGCUAGCGUUGUUCGGAAUUACUGGGCGUAAAGCGCGCGUAGGCGGCGCGGUAAGUCGGGUGUGAAAUCUCGGAGCUUAACUUCGAAACUGCAUUCGAUACUGCCGUGCUUGAGGACUGGAGAGGAGACUGGAAUUUACGGUGUAGCGGUGAAAUGCGUAGAUAUCGUAAGGAAGACCAGUGGCGAAGGCGGGUCUCUGGACAGUUCCUGACGCUGAGGCACGAAGGCCAGGGGAGCAAACGGG
rnacentral:rRNA from 1 species